UGGGGAAUAUUGCACAAUGGGCGCAAGCCUGAUGCAGCCAUGCCGCGUGUAUGAAGAAGGCCUUCGGGUUGUAAAGUACUUUCAGCGGGGAGGAAGGCGAUAAGGUUAAUAACCUUGUCGAUUGACGUUACCCGCAGAAGAAGCACCGGCUAACUCCGUGCCAGCAGCCGCGGUAAUACGGAGGGUGCAAGCGUUAAUCGGAAUUACUGGGCGUAAAGCGCACGCAGGCGGUCUGUCAAGUCGGAUGUGAAAUCCCCGGGCUCAACCUGGGAACUGCAUUUGAAACUGGCAAGCUAGAGUCUUGUAGAGGGGGGUAGAAUUCCAGGUGUAGCGGUGAAAUGCGUAGAGAUCUGGAGGAAUACCGGUGGCGAAGGCGGCCCCCUGGACAAAGACUGACGCUCAGGUGCGAAAGCGUGGGGAGCAAACA
rnacentral:rRNA from 1 species